AUAAUGUAUCUUCCAAUUCAAGGCAACAGUGUAUGAUAAUAUAUUGUUAAUUUAAGGAAGAAAGAAAAGGCAGUGGUCAAAACCUGGGAUACCGCAGCCUGACUAAGAGACUUUUGACAAAGCAUGGCAUGGCAGUUGGAAGAAAAUCAGUAUCUAGCAUUCUUUGGCAAAUUGACCCAAAAGGUGUGGAGCUUAGGACACAUCACUGCCUGAUCAGGACAUACUACAACAAGGGGCCCAACUUCCUGGUCCAUAUAGAUGGGUAUGACAAAUUGAAGCCUUUUGGAUUAGCCAUACAUGGAGCCAUCUGUGGGUGACAAAGUCUGUGAACAUUUCAGUAUCUUAAUUAAACUUCUUUUAAUGUGACUGUUCAAAUCCCCCUUUGCUCUUGAUCUCUUGUUUAACCCUAAACAGUUAUUGUUAUUCAUUGUGUGAUUUGAAAUGGCAAACAAGUGGUAAGUUAAUUUUUUCUCUUGGAGGGCAGCAUGUAUAUUUCUCUAGUUGCAUAACAUGUAUAUAUAGGAACUCCCUUGGUUUCUUUUUGUGAUAUGUACCAAGAUACAUGUAUGUAUGAUAGUUUUUAGACUGAUUGUGAUAAAAGUGACCAAUAGACAGACCAUCUUGAUUCAAUCAUUCUACUAAUCUAGUUAUUAUGUCACAAUAUGAUGUUAUUCCUAUUGGCAUGACUGUUAACAUAGAAAUGGGAGAGAGAAAAGCAGGGAAAAUAUCAUACCGUACUCAAUUAAAGUUCAUUUAAUGGUGUGCAGCAAUAUCUUUCUUAUCUAGUUUGAAAUAAGUAUCAUUAUGGUUUAUAUAGUAACUUUGAAGUUUUAAUGCAUAGUAAUAAUGAGUUAGUAUCUGAGUAUUCCUAUACAAUUAAAUUCUUGACUAAGUCUUCUUUUAAUUCAAGAUCAAACUGCAUAUAACGGGAAAAAAAUCAUAAAAUAUUGCCAUAGGUUAUUUGAUAUUAAUUUGGAAUGAAACCUAAGUUUCAUGAAUUGUAUUUGAAAUUGCUCUUGUUUCAAUUGUAAAAGUUGUAAAUAUUUAAUAUUACAGAUUUUAACGACGUGUCUUAUGGUUAAAAGUUGCCAGAACCAACAAUGACCCAAGAGUGGUUGCCUCAUACUUUCUAGAUUUUGUAGAAGAGAUAAAUGGAGUUCCAAGGUGUACACUUACCAGACAACCAGAGGAGUGUCCUUCUGGAAAACCAGAGAUGAUGUAUCUACACCCUGAGCUACACGGGACAGUGGAUUACAAAUUUUCAGUGAAAUUAAGUGAUGUGGAGUCCUUGAAGAGUUUCUGUAGUUAUCCAAGCUGCUAUGGAUGCACAGAGGAGAUGAAGGAACACUUCACGUCUAUUUUGCUUGAAGGUAGAAGGAGUGAGCCUAUAAAUUCUGAAGAUGCAAAGGAACUGUUCCAAUAGAUGUUACAAAAGAUAUAGAUUGGAUAAGUUGACAAUGUGAUGAGGAUUGUGACAAUAAUAGUUUAUCCUCAAAAACUUUAAAGAUUAACAAAAACAAGAGGCCCAAAGGACCUUAAAUGGUUAUCGGACUACAUUGAGUAUGUCAAACUUCAAAAAGUAGUAUAACCCAUAAUGGUUGAAAUGUUGGAUACAUGUGACCUUAAAAGUAGGUCAAGCUUAUUCAUUUGAAUAAAAUUGGUAUUCCUCCAU